rnacentral:pre_miRNA from 1 species
ACAACAUUCGGACCGUCGGUCUACCGAGCAACAUCACCCGCUCGGUGGAAGAUCUUUCCUCCGUCGU